UGGGUAAUCUUUGAACGUGAAUCGUGCUGGGGAUAGAUGAUUGCAAUUAUUCAUCUUCAACGAGGAAUUCCUAGUAAACGCAAGUCAUCAGCUUGCAUUGAUUACGUCCCUGCCCUUUGUACACACCGCCCGUCGCACCUACCGAUUGAAUGACCCGGUGAAAUCUUCGGAUCGUUGUAUUGCCCGAUUCAUUUCGGGCGAUGUGACGCAAAGUUGAUUAAACCUUGCCAUUUAGAGGAAGGUGAAGUCGUAACAAGGUUUCCGUAGGUGAACCUGCGGAAGGAUCAUUA
rnacentral:rRNA from 1 species